rnacentral:rRNA from 1 species
AGUGAACGCUGGCGGUAGGCCUAACACAUGCAAGUCGAACGGCAGCACAGUAAGAGCUUGCUCUUACGGGUGGCGAGUGGCGGACGGGUGAGGAAUACAUCGGAAUCUACUUUUUCGUGGGGGAUAACGUAGGGAAACUUACGCUAAUACCGCAUACGACCUACGGGUGAAAGCAGGGGAUCUUCGGACCUUGCGCGAUUGAAUGAGCCGAUGUCGGAUUAGCUAGUUGGCGGGGUAAAGGCCCACCAAGGCGACGAUCCGUAGCUGGUCUGAGAGGAUGAUCAGCUACACUGGAACUGAGACACGGUCCAGACUCCUAAGGGAGGCAGCAGUGGGGAAUAUUGGACAAUGGGCGAAAGACUGAUCCAGCAAUACCGCGUGGGUGAAGAAGGCCUUAGGGUUGGAAAGCCCUGUUGUUGGGAAAGAAAAGCAGCAGGUUAAUAACCCGCUGUUAUGACGGUACCCAAAGAAUAAGCACCGGCUAACUUCGUG